rnacentral:lncRNA from 1 species
CCUUGGCCCUCCAGCUGGUGAAUAAAGAUGGUUCUGUCUCCUGCUGUAAGAUUGACUUGGUGAUUUAUCCCAAUCUCGCCAUAACAUUUUGGAGGCCCCAGCAAGAUGAUCACUGCAGUCAAGGCUGUGGCUCUCUGGCACACAAGUGUCCCAGAUCCUCUGACGCAGAGAGGCGCCCUCCCCUCUCUAGUUGUGGGAGAUCUCUGCUUUGUGAGGGUCUGGACCUCCUGUGGUGACCAACUGGAGCCCACCUAUAGAAGCUCUGAUAUAACUCACAUCUGUAAUCCAGUGGCUUUAAAGGAGGACAGAUCUGCAUAUGUUGGGAGGUACCUCGUUUAUUCUUUCCAUUUGAGUCGAUUGUAAGAUUGUAAAGCCGUGGAGGUUCCUAGCGCCUAAUUGUAAAUCUUUAGAUGUGUAUCAGGGGCUCUCCUCUGGGGGUGUGUCUAGUGCUUGAUUGUAAAGCCCAAAGGUGUACAAGUGAUCCAAAUACCUUUGGUUCACGUGUCAAACAAUUAAUAAAAUGUUAAUGUCUAUAAAAUGUCUAAUAUCCAUUGUUUCUAGGAUUUUUCUUCAUCAAGAAAGAGAUGGCUGAUGCUAUUCAAUACACUUGUCUGAUGUCUUGGUUUUAAAAAUAAGUAAAUCAGAUUUGACAUAUGUGGGAUUGCUCAUGGAUGUGUUUGUUAGAGAUAUCUAAUUGGUUUACAGAAUGAAAGCACUAACUGUUAAAUAUAACAUCAAGUACUCUUAACUCCUUCAAUUCUAUAAAUUAACGUACUUAAACAUUACUGGUGUUUUCAUAAAUUGGUAAAAAUUGCUCUGUGUCAUUACUAAAAACAUGGUUAUUAAGAGUUAAAUGUCCCAAAAGGUAUAAUUCUAUAAUUGUGUUUCAAAUAGAGUACUGUAAAUAGCAUAAAGAAUUUCUCCUGCAGGUUUCAAAUAGAGUAAUUUGUCUAAAUUCAGAAAUUUACAAGGGUUGCUUCAGAGUGUAAAUUUUAAAAAGGGGGUCAAAUGAUAGGAAAAAAGUUUAAAGAUUCUAAAUAUAAAAUUUUCUGGGUAAGAAAGUCUUCAUGUGGCAAAGUUAUAAUGCAUCUAAGUAAACAACAGAGGGUCUAAUUAAGUGACAAAACAAUCUAUAUAAAUAAAGAGUAAGUUUUAAAAGAUUUGUGUGUAACUAAGUGUUGCAAUGGGCAAAAAGUGUGAUUUAUGCAGUCAAGGGGGAGAAACAAAGAAUGUUCACACGGUUCUGCCCUUUUCAAUGCUUUAUUCACUCAAAUCACUGAUUACAAUUCCACUCUAAGGAUUCAAGAAAAUGACAAUCCUUAAUGCUAGGCACUGCGAUAGAUAUAAUCAAUUCACAGCAAACAAUUCUAGAUUAAUUCUAAGCACUGCAAACAUGCUUAAUCAUGACAGGCUCGUGACAGACAUUCCCUCUGCAUGCUAAGCUCAAGUGCCAGGUCUAAAGUCUCAAGCCUUAGGGUCCAGCAGAUGCACACACACUCAGACUUUGGUGAUCAGAUCAGGAACCAAGAUAGGCUUCUCCUGGGGUGGAGCUGACAGCUGGCUGAGGAGGUGGUCAUAGAGAGAAGUCCUUUUCUCACCAGGGUCAAGAGAGUUUGAGAGCCGUGCGAAUAACACAGAGAUCAGGCAGAUGAGAAGAGUUGGGAUGUCACUCCAGGUCCUCAUCAGGCUCUCAGACUUGUGUGCAUCAGUGUUGGCUGGCUGAAUGUCUAUUCAUUUGCUCCAUCAUUUACACUAAAUUUGGGGGCUUCUGACUACCCUUUCAAUCCCUAUCAGCUGCUACCGGAUUUCUCAGUGACGUCAUUCGUUCUGAGGUUAAAUCAUCUGGUCUCCUGGUCCACAACCUGAUUUUCUUGCUUCUCGCUCUUUAUCAGGGCAAGAGCAAUGCCAGAGACUUCACUCAGAGUUUGUCAGGGUGGGGAAAAGUGACUUGUUUGUGCCUGAGGGUCAUACUGGAGGACUCUGUAGUUGUGCCUCGUGAGGCUGCAGGUUUCAAAGUGGAGUUUUUAAAAUGGAAUUGCUUAGGCUAAGACCUAAGGCCAUCCUUACACUAAGUUGGUUAAAAAUAAGUAAUAUGAUCAGUUAAAACUAUUCAGUUUGUUCCCUAAAGUCAAAUAUUAAUGUACUAAUUAUGUACAUCCAAUAUUAAUGUAUUAAUAUAAAUCAUUUUAAUCUGUAAUUUAAAAUGACAAGGAUUUCUUAAAACAUUAAUCUACUCUUAACAUUGUGUCUAUUAAGUUUUAUUUUCUAGAACAACUAGUCUUAAGAAAUUAGGUUUGUUCAACUGGUUAAACAGCAACUGAUAUUUUAGGGUAUUGUACUAUAUUACAAAGUCUAAAUUUUUCUUUAAGAUCUAGACUUGGUUAAUAUAAAACAUAAAUAUAAUUAUGACACUAUACUCUUCUUUGCAUAUUAAAUAUGCUCAUAUCUUCCAGGUAUACAAGUCUUUAAAGAAAAAGGUUUAAAGAAGCAUUUUAUCAAGCUGGUGUUCUCCAAACUAAAGUUGUCUGUAAUGGUAGUUUAGACUUGUAAGGAUAACAAAUUUUAUUAGGGAUUUAGUUAUACCAUUAAUUGUUUUUUAACCAAACCUAAACCUUAGGUUACUUUUUACACUUGGAUAAAUGUAAAUGUAUUUCUAAAAGAAAUCGCCUAAUCAGCAAUUUAGUGAGGCCCUAAGCAACUCAGUGAGACCCUGUCUUUAAAUAAAAUAUAGAAACAGGAUAGGGAUGUGGUUCCAGGGUUGAGUGCCCCUGGAUUAAAUUCUCAGUACCAGAGAGAGAGAGAGAAACUCUCCCUUGCCUCAAAGUACUAUGUCCAUCCCCGAAUAGAUCUUUGGAGAAUCUUCCAUUGUGUGUGACACUUAAGGGUUAACAAACCCUUAAGUGUCAGUCACAAAGUCAUUCAUAACUUUUUUUUUUAAUAGGAACAUUUUUCAGGAGUUGUUAAUCUUUAAUUUACAGCAAUCAGGUUUACUACAAGAAUUUUUUCUUUUGCCAGGCAUCGUGGCACUCUCCUGUAAUCCCAGCCACUAUGGAGGCUGAGAAUCGCAAGUUCAAAGCCAGUCUCAGCAAUUUAUCGAGUUCCUAAGCAAUUAAGGGAGAUCCUGUCUCAAAUGAAAAGGACUGGGGAUGUGGCUCAGUGGUUAAGCGCCUCUGGGUUCAAUCCCUAGUACCAAUAUAAAUAAAUAAAAUGAUAAAUAAAAAGAAUUCUUUUUUUCCUAGGACUACAUGCAAACCCAGGCACACACUCUGCCUCUGAAGUUUGUCCCCAGCACCAGCAAUUAAUUUUACAAAUGAACUUCCUGUUUUAGUGUCUGCCCUUGGCUCUGGAUCCUCCCCUUGGGCCAGGGCCAGCCUCCCUAACCAGGAUUUAAAGCAUCUGUGAGCCUCAUUACCGGGACGCCAGACAUCUAUUUGCUCUCUGGAAGCCAUUUCUGCACCAACCAUGGCCACCUUCGUGGAGCUCAGCACCAAAGCCAAGAUGCCCAUUUUGGGUCUGGGCACCUGGAAGGUAAAUAUGCAAAUUUUAGGAGGCCUGCUUCCCUCCGGGGUUGUCUGAAUACUUUCUCUGUUGUCAGUUGGGACAGGGGUUUAAAGAGGUGAAAUUCAGCCCUAGAGCUGAAUUUCUCUGGGCCGAUGGAGGCUGGAAAGUUACAGACUGGCUGUUCUUGGCAGGGUGAGUGCUUCACUAGCAAGUAUCAAGUUUCCAGCACAAGUUGGACUUACUAAAAAAAGAAAGAGCCGAAGAAAGAAAGAAAAAGAGAACACGGCAGCUACUCUCAGCAGUCUUUUUCUUCUGAAACACUGCUUAGUUCUGGGACAUGGAGAGAGGGGCUCAGCAUUUCUUGGCCUUGGGUUUGGUGAUGGCUGAGUGAUUGAGAGGAUCCAGAGCUCUUUAAUAAGGGGGGCUCGGGGUGUAGUACAGUGGUAGAGCGCCCUGAGUUCAAUACCCAGUAACUUAACAAAACAAAACAACUCAGACCCAACCCAGGCUACAGAAUCAACAUUUGCUUUACUGAGAUCUCCAGUGGUUGUCAUGCUCAUUAAGCUCUGAGAAGUACUGGGAUCACAGACAGCCUCGGUCAUCACAGAGUCAGGAGCGCAGGUCCCACUCUGGCUGUGUUAUUGUCAGCAGGCAAAAUGCCAAAGGCACAUCCCAGUGCCUCAGGAAGCAGAUUCACCGGCCUCUCUUGGAAUUUUAUCAUCUUCUAACUCUGCCCCCCCCUUUUUUUUUUUUUUUUUACCAUUUCCCUCAAUGCUGACAUCACCCUAGCUAGUUUCCAAGAUCCAUCUUUGGAACCUUUCUUUCCUCAUGGCUCAUCUUGCUGAGUCAUUCCUCUGUGUGUCUCUCUUUUUUUUUUUUUUUUUUUAUACUCAGGUCGUUCUACCACCGGUCUAUAUCCCCAGCCAUUUUGACAUUUUAUUUUGAGACAAGGUCUUGCUAAGUUGCUGAGGCUAGCCUUGAACUUGUGAUCUUCCUGCCUCUGCCUCCUGGGUCACCUCCUGGCUCACUGGGAUUACAUGUGUACACCAUCACACCUGACCUCCUGAGUUACUUCAGGUCUAGUUUUCAGCCUGGCUUUGAGAGCACUGAAGUGGAAGCUAUCCAUAUUUUCUAGCAACUGGAGAUACUUCAGGACUUACCUGAAUUAUAGAGGAAUUGACUUUUAGGUAGGAUAGGGCUCCAGGUCACAAUCAUAAAAUUAAUUAAUUUUUUUUCUUUUGAAAAGUUUUCCAAAGUGUGUUUUAUUCCCUGUUAUCCCCUGGCAAAUGGGACCUAGAUUUGGAGGAAAAGUAACUGAUGGCCUUUUCUUUUUAGUCUCCUCCAAACAAAGUCAAAGAAGCCGUGAAGGUGGCCAUUGAUGCAGGAUAUCGCCACAUAGACUGUGCCUACGUCUAUCAGAAUGAGAAUGAGGUGGGAGAAGCCAUCCAAGAGAAGAUCCAAGAGAAGGUGGUGAAGCGGGAGGACCUCUUUAUUGUGAGCAAGGUACGUAUGGCCCAUUUGGUGGGAGGACUGGACUUCAACGCAGGCAGAAGUAUGUGGAUGUGGUCAGUGCCAAGAACCCGCCCAGCCUUUCCUCUAUGUCCAUGUCAACCCCAGCUCUCUUCAUGUGGGCCUUUAGUACGUCCCUCAAUACAAACAUCCGCACGAGUACUGACAUGUGAAAGAUACUGCUGUAGUCCCAUACACCUGAGUGGGGCUGGCCCCAGUGCCCUCGUCUUCCCUGUUUUCUAUCAAUGGGAUCCCUCUGCCCAGUGACGAUCAGAGGCUAAGGGUGCAAACAGUGAUGGAUCCUGACGCCAGACCUUCAGCACUGUGGUCUCAAUGGAUGUUGCACUGAGGUCCUUAGUCAGGGGGUUUUGGAAAACGGUGGGAGCAUUUUUUAUUAUCAUUUAGAGAUUUCUUUUUAUUUCAAGCCAGUAAAAACUGUGUUAUAAAGUGUACAACAAAGAAGGAAAAGGAUAAUUGUUACAUGAAGGAGUUGAAACCUGCUGGAUAAGCAAUUUGCUAAAAAAUCUGUAGUUCCAGGUCCUUGGAAAAUGCAUCUGGUGGGAUAAAUAGAUUAGCUGUAGGCAGGGCCCCAUCUGAAAGAAUUCCUUAUCAAAUCAUCAGUUGGAGCCUAAUAGAUGAAGAUACGGUAUAUAGAAAAAGGGGACAUGUGCUUGAAAUGUAAAAGCUAAUCACAAUUCCUACCCUCAGAGAGCUGAGCGCCAAGGAAGGGAAUAACACAGGUACAAAAAUAUUUAAUUAGUGGCCAAAUAUUUUAACCAAUGUCAGAAACAGAUAGAAUGUUGAGAGUGUGAAAAAAUAAAUUGGCCUGAUAUCACAGUGUCUAGGCCCGAAAUUCCAGAGACUUAGGAGGCUGAAGCAGAAGGAUCACAAAUUCAAGGCCAGCCUCAUCAGUUUAGCCAGAUCCUAUCUCAAAAUAAAGUAUAAAAAGGGCUGGGUAGCUCAGUGGUACAGCAUCCCUGGGUUCAAUCUCCACUACCAAAAAUAAAUAAAUUGCGCUCAUCUCAGGAAAUACAGCCUUGGCUGAGGACUUUGUGUGCUGGGUCACUAUCUUAACCACCAUAGUUAUAAACGACCUGUUCUCAGGAUGGAUCAUGCAAAUCACAAAGCAGGGAGAGUGAGUGUGGUACAGCCCCUCUCUCUCCAGUCCUAAGGCCUUGCUGUCUCCCCCUGCAGUUGUGGUGCACCUUCUUUGAGAGGAAGCUUGUGAAGGAAGCCUGUCGGAAGACCCUCAAGGAUCUGAAACUGGACUAUUUGGAUGUCUAUCUUAUUCAUUGGCCCCAGGGAUUUCAGGUUUGAACUAUUCCUGAGCAGAUAGAUGCCAGAAAAUAACUGUGCCAGGAUGGGGGUAUCCAGUGGACAGGAGUUCUUGUGCAGAGCAGGAAGGUGCUGGUUUGGAAGAGAGGCCUAGAUGACACGUGGCCACUGAGGUAGGCACAUGCCUAAGUUUUCUUGCGGUUGCAUCUGAGAGAGACAGUGACUUCUGGCAACUCAAAUAAGCUGCCACUGCCAUGUGGCCUUUGUCUUGAUUGUGUGCCCCCCCCCUCCCCAGGAGAACUCUUGGGAUACUCUUGCAUAACAUUAUCUCAGGGCUCAACACUCCUGUUAAUCAAAGCACACCCUGGGAGUGGCAUCUUGGAGAAAAGCCCAAGCAUGGUGAUACUGAAAGGUAGCCAUUUCUCACUAAAGAAACAGACUCUACUUCUGCCUGCUCCUGGAGGUGAGAGGGACAUGAAUUCCCAGCCUCUUCCCUCAUGGUCAGCUAGGUGAUGUGGUAUGCCAUCCAGGCUCAUAGAGGCUGUGAGGACAGAAGUGAGUUAACAUCUUCCCUAGGAAAACCAUACCUUGAGAUCCAACCAUUGUAUAUUGACCUUGAAAUUAAUGUUUACCUCCAAGUUUAUCUGGGGUCUGAUAAUAUAAAGUUAAUGUCCACGGUGAUAAUGAUGGCUUCUAGAAUAUUCUAGUGAUGGAUUGUAAAAUCAAUCCAGUAGUUUAUAAAAAUGUAAGAGUUUCGAUGCCACAAUAGAUUGAUAUGGAGUUUUUAUUGAAACUCACUAUCUACAAGUGUGUUCUCCAGCAUUUGAUAAAAAUAGUGUGCAGAUGUGGGUAUAAAAAUGGGAAUCAGAGCCAGGCACAGUGGUGCAUGCCUGUAAUCCCAGUGGCUCAAGAGGCUGAGGUGGGAAGAUCAUGAGUUCAAAGUCAGUCUCCACAAAAGUGAGAUGCUAAGCAACUCAGUAAGACCCUGUCUCUAAAUAAAAUACAAAAUAGGGCUGGGGAUGUGGCUCAGUGAUUGAGGGCCCCUGAGUACUCCAGUACCCUGCCCACCCCACCCCCGCCAAAAGAAGUAGAAAUCAGGAUCUGAAAACCUUGUUCAACAGGGCCACAUAUCCAGAUGCACAUUACAAUAAGCUUCUUGUUCUCCUUUUACAGGCUGGGAAGGACUUAUUCCCCAAAGAUGAUAAAGGCAACAACCUCAUCAGUAAAGAAACAUUCUUGGAUGCCUGGGAGGUAGGUUCUAGUUUCUUCUAAGUGUGUUGGGAGAAAAAAAAUUUCCCUCGGUCAUGGAUGAGACUCCAUGAAGGAGCCCUGCUGCGUUAUGUCUAACUCCACCACUGUUAUCCUCCAGUUUUUCUCACUCCUUCCUUAUCACCUUUGGACUCAGAAUCCAUCUGACAUGAUUUACAUUUUCAAGGCUAAAACUGUGUUCUCAAAUGAGAUUAUAGAUAUAAUGUACCCUAAUUUGGGGGAUACACGUGCUAUUCCAAAGCCAUGGGAGGAAAUUUUAAAAAGGCAUUUUGACUUGAGUUUGUAGGUGUUAGCUGAGUAACCUUGGAUCAGUUAUUUAACUCCUGAAAUAUUCAGUUUCUUAUUUUUUAAAAAUACUAUAGAUAGGUGGGUGCAGUGGCACACUCCUGUAAUCCCCGCAACUCAGGAGGUUAAGGCAGGAUGAUGGCAAGUUCAAGGCUAGCCUCAGAAAAUUAGCAAGACCCUAAGCAAUUUAGAGAGACCCUGUUGCAAAAUAAAAAAUAAAACAGAGCUUGGGAUGUGGAUCAGUGGUCAAGAGCCCCUGGGUUCAAUUCCCAGUACCAAUAAACAAAUAAAUUCCUUAAUUAAAUAAAAUAAAAAGGACUGGGGAUGUAGCUCAGUGGUAAAGCACCCCUGGGUUUAAUCUCUCUGUGUGUGUGCAACUGAUACACGUCCGCAAGAUAUGGUAAAGAUUAAGGUAGCCAACAUGCUAGGAACUUUAAUCAUGGACUCAGGACUCAGGUCUGUCUGACUAAGAAGUUCAACUGCAUUGGUCUUUAGCAGAAUGCUUGGUAAAAAGUGAACACAUAUCAUUCAAACAUAAGGGAAAAGGAGUGCCCCACUUCCUAGAUCCAAUAAUGACCUCAUUCACAUAAUUUGUGUCUAAAAUUAAAUUAAGGCAUGAAAGGUUUUCUGAAGUUUUUUUUUUUUUUGAAACGAUCAUGUGCUCUUGCAAAUGCCAGCAGAGAACAAGUGAAUGAACAAGUCAUAAAUGAAUAGUGACAAAGGGUCUCAGGGAUCAUAUUGUUCUAUCAUCUGAGUGGGACACAUUUCCUUAGUUUGUGUUGUUUUUUACCACUUAAAAUAGGUUAAAACUGUCCUAGCCUGGAAUUGAUAUGAUAAAUUAAAUGUAAAGUUUUUAUUUUAUUUUGAGACAGAGUCUCACUAAGUUUGUUCAGAAAUGUUUACCCAUGAGCACAGCUUUCUUGCUUUGAACCUCAGCAACCAGCAAUAAGAAAAUUUAGAUAGCAAAAAUGAUGUGAUAUCAGGAAAAGGAUAAUGAAGCAGGAAAAUCAUCACUUUAUAAUGACAAGGUUGGCAAUCCUGGAAAUACACUUGAAAGGAAUUAUCUUUGGCAAGCAAAUCAUUAAAUUUGCCUGCUAAUGGCAGAAAGCUUGUUACUUGGAAGUAUGGGAAGAAACUAUCUGAAUUUCUAUGGGUGGGUUUUAAAGACUGUCCUCAACCUCUCUGAGUUGUACAUGAAAAGAAAAAGAAAAAAAAAACCCAAAACUAUUGGUUGUUGCCACCUGUAGUAUUGCCAUUGGAUUUUCUCAGCAGGGAUAUGCCAUUUAUAGUUCAUUUCUGUAAGUCAAAAUGAUAAAAGAAGCAAUGCUUUAUAUAAUUAAGAGCCAUACCAAAUUAUUGAAAAUCUCAUAUCGCAGGGCUGGACAUGCCUGUUAAUAACGUGACUCAGGAGGUUGAGGAAGGAGGAUUGCAAAUUGGAAGCCAGCCUUAGCAAUUUAGUGAGGCCAUAAGCAACUUAGUGAGACUCUGUCUCAAAAUAAAAUAAAAAGGGCUGGGGAUGUUGCUCGGUGAUUAACUACUCCUGAGCUUUACCCAGUACCAAAAAACAUAUAAUAAUAUCUAAGAAGCGUGAGACUAUAUAUAGAAGUAAAUCAAAUACUUUGGGGAAAGUCUUAGGAAGAUGUCAAUUUGUCAUAAUAUCCAAACCUUCUUCUAUAAUUAAAUAUAAAUCUCUGUACCAAGUGGAAGAACACCAUGAAUGUACAAGCUGUGAGCUGGAACCCAGGGGCACUUUACUACUUAGCUACAUCCCUAGUCCUUUAUUUAUUUAUUUGUUUGUUUAUUUAUUUAUUUAUUUAUUUAUUUAUGGUACUGGGGAUUCAACCCAGGGUUGUUUAACCACUGAGCCAUAUCACCAGCCCUUUUCUGCAUUUUAUUUAGAGACAGGGUCUUGCUAAGUUGCCUAGGGCCUUGCUAAGUUGCUAAGGCUGGCUUUGAAUUUGGGAUCCUCCUAUGUCAGCUUCCUGAGCUGCUGGGGUUACAGGUAUGCGCCACCAUGCCCAGACCUUUUAUUUUUUUUACUUUUAGACAGGGUCUUGCUAAGUUGCUCAGGAUCCUGCUAAACUGCUGAGUCUGGCCUUGAACCUGCAGACCUCCUGCCUCAGCUUCUGGAGUCAUUGGGAUUAUAAGUGUUGUAUUUUUCUUUAAUGACCUUUCAAGGCAUUAUCCAACCACAUAAAUACUUGUUUGACAUAGUCACUAAAAUAUACUUAUUAAGCCUGAAACUUCAAGAAUAGAUACUAUUUUCUCUUUGCUAAUGACAAAAUUGUGGCCAUAAAAAGAAAUUUGAAUUCUAGUUAACUUAGAAAAAUAUCAACAUAUUUAUUUUCUUGCCACAAGACACAUUCUGUUUGAGGAAGUUUUCAGGUUUAAUGAUAUAAUGAACAAUAUAGUGGUUUAUGUGAAUGGGCUCAAAAUGAAAAUUUUGGCAAGACUCACAAAAUAGCCUGAGAUUUCAGCAUUCGUUUUUGCAUUAAAUUGAGUGCAUUAAUUUGAUAGGUCCACUUUGUCAUAUAUAUUCACUAAUCCUUUUCGUUGCAGGUCAUGGAGGAGCUGGUGGAUGAGGGGUUGGUGAAAACUCUUGGUGUUUCCAACUUCAACCACUUCCAGAUUGAAAAGAUCUUGAAUAAGCCUGGACUCAAAUAUAAACCAGUGACUAACCAGGUAAAUUCUAGUCAAUGAAAGGGUCCUG